GGGACACGUGGUAUCCUGUCUGAAUAUGGGGGGACCAUCCUCCAAGGCUAAAUACUCCUGACUGACCGAUAGUGAACCAGUACCGUGAGGGAAAGGCGAAAAGAACCCCGGCGAGGGGAGUGAAAAAGAACCUGAAACCGUGUACGUACAAGCAGUGGGAGCACCUUCGGGUGUGACUGCGUACCUUUUGUAUAAUGGGUCAGCGACUUAUAUUCUGUAGCAAGGUUAACCGUAUAGGGGAGCCGCAGGGAAACCGAGUCUUAACUGGGCGUUAAGUUGCAGGGUAUAGACCCGAAACCCGGUGAUCUAGCCAUGGGCAGGUUGAAGGUUGGGUAACACUAACUGGAGGACCGAACCGACUAAUGUUGAAAAAUUAGCGGAUGACUUGUGGCUGGGGGUGAAAGGCCAAUCAAACCGGGAGAUAGCUGGUUCUC
rnacentral:rRNA from 1 species